rnacentral:rRNA from 1 species
GGAAAAGCCAGAAAAGGCGCAAGGGGGAUGCCUUGGCAUCAGGAGCCGAAGAAGGACGCGACAAGCUGCGAAAAGCCGCGCGGAGGCGCACAUAGCCGUUGAGGCGCGGGUGUCCGAAUGGGGCAACCCGGCGGCAGCAGUGCCGCCACGCGCGCGCGAACAAAAUAGCGCGCGCGGGGGAACGCGGGGAACUGAACCAUCUAAGUACCCGCAGGAAAAGAAAGAAACAUCGAUUCCCGGAGUAGCGGCGAGCGAAAUGGGAAAAGCCAGGCAGCGCAAAGGCCGCGAAGCGAAGCCGAACGGCAUGGGAAGGCCGACCGAAGGGGGCAAGAGUCCCGUAGGCGAAACGCCCAGAGGCCCGGCUGCCAAGAAGUACCGCAGGGCACGCGAAAUCCGGCGGGAAGACGGGAGGACCACCUCCCAAGGCUAAAUACUACCUGAUGACCGAUAGCGCACAGUACCGUGAGGGAAAGGUGAAAAGAACCCCGGGAGGGGAGUGAAACAGAACCUGAAACCUUGCGCCCACAAGCAGGCGGAGCGAAAGUGACGCCGUGCUUUUUGUAGAACGGGCCAGCGAGUUGCUGGCGUGCAGCAAGGCUAAGCGGCAAAGCCGCGGAGCCGCAGGGAAACCGAGCCUGAAAAGGGCGAAUUAAGUUGCAUGCCGCAGACCCGAAACCGUGUGAUCUAGCCACGCCCAGAAUGAAGCGAAGGUAAAGCUUCGUGGAGGUUCGAACCGGUGUCUGUGAAAAAGGCUCGGAUGAGGCAUGGCUAGGGGAGAAAUUCCAAUCGAACACGGAGAUAGCUGGUUCUCCCCGAAAUAGCUUUAGGGCUAGCGUGCCCCCAUUGUGGCGGGCGGAGGUAGAGCUCUGAAUUGGCAAGGGGGCGGAAAGCCUGCCGAGCCAUAUCAAACUGCGAAUGCCGCCAGGCCAGGGGGCGCAGCCAGACUGCGGGAGAUAAGUUCCGCAGUCGAGAGGGAAAAAGCCCAGACCAUCGUUUAAGGCCCCAAAGUGCAGGCUAAGUGGAAAAGGAUGUGCAGCCGCCCAGACAGCCAGGAUGUUGGCUUAGAGGCAGCCACCCAUUCAAAGAGUGCGUAACAGCUCACUGGUCGAGUGGCUGCGCGCCGAAAAUUACACGGGGCUAAAGCCUGCCGCCGAAGGCAUGGGGCAGGGGCGAAGGCCCCUGCCGGUAGGGGAGCUUCGCGGGCGGGGCGAAGCGCAGCGCGCAGGCGCGCGUGGACUGCCCGCGAGAGAGAAUGCUGGCAUGAGUAGCGAAAGGCAGGUGGGAAUCCUGCCCAUCGAAAGCCCAAGGUUUCCCGGGGAAGGCUCGUCCGCCCGGGGUAAGUCGGGGCCUAAGGCGAGGCCGAAAGGCGCAGCCGAUGGACAGCUGGCAGAGAUUCCAGCACCCGGCGCGGCUGACUGAGAGAUGCGGAGACACGGAAGGAUAGCCCUUCCCGGCGGACGGAAGUGCCGGGACAAGCGCUAUAGGGCCGGGGGAGCAAAUGGCCCCCAAGAAGGCCUAAGGCGCGAUGUGGAAACGAGCGAGUUGAAGAGGGCGAGUCCACGCCGGCAAGAAAAUCCGCUAUCGAGGCCGCGUCGGCCCGUACCGCAAACCGACACAGGCAGGCGAGGAGAGGAUCCUAAGAUGAGCGAGAGAAAUGUUGUCAAGGAACUCGGCAAAAUGACCCCGUAACUUCGGGAGAAGGGGACCCCAGGCGACUGGGGCGCAGCGAAAAGGUCCAGGCGACUGUUUACCAAAAACACAGGUCUCUGCAAAAGCGAAAGCUGAAGUAUAGGGGCUGACGCCUGCCCGGUGCCGGAAGGUUAAGGGGAAGCGUUAGCGCAAGCGAGGCGCCGAACUGAAGCCCCGGUAAACGGCGGCCGUAACUAUGACGGUCCUAAGGUAGCGAAAUUCCUCGUCAGGUAAGUUCUGACCCGCACGAAAGGCGCAACGAUCUGGACGCUGUCUCGACAACAUGCUCGGUGAAAUUGUAGUGCCGGUGAAGAUGCCGGCUACCCGCGACUGGACGGAAAGACCCCGUAGAGCUUUACUGCACCCUGGCGCUGGACUUUGGGAUUGCAUGCACAGGAUAGGCGGGAGGCAGGGAUGCGCGCGCCCCGGCGCGCGCGGAGCCAACCUUGGGAUACCGCCCUUGCAAUGUCGAAGUUCUAACUGGCAGCCGCGAUACCGGCUGCAGGACCACGCCAGGCGGGCAGUUUGACUGGGGCGGUCGCCUCCGAAACAGCAACGGAGGCGCUCAAAGGUCCCCUCGGGAUGGUUGGAAACCAUCUUACAGAGCGCAAAGGCAUAAGGGGGCCUGACUGCGAGACAGACAAGUCGGGCAGGUACGAAAGUAGGACUUAGUGAUCCGGUGGCCCCGAGUGGGAGGGCCAUCGCUUAACGGAUAAAAGUUACCUCGGGGAUAACAGGCUUAUCUCCCCCAAGAGUCCACAUCGACGGGGAGGUUUGGCACCUCGAUGUCGGCUCGUCGCAUCCUGGAGCUGAAGCAGGUUCCAAGGGUUGGGCUGUUCGCCCAUUAAAGCGGCACGCGAGCUGGGUUCAGAACGUCGUGAGACAGUUCGGUCCCUAUCCGUCGCGGGCGCGGGACAUUUGAAAGGGUCUGCCCUUAGUACGAGAGGAGCGGGGCGGACAGGCCUCUGGUGCACCGGUUGCCGUGCCAACGGCACAGCCGGGUAGCUACGCCUGGAAGGGAUAAGCGCUGAAAGCAUCUAAGCGCGAAGCCCGCCUUGAGAUGAGAUGUCCAACUGUAAAAGGAUAAGGCCCCAGACAGACGAUCUGGUUGAUAGGCCGGGGGUGCAAGCGCGGCGACGCGCUAAGCCGACCGGUACUAAUCGGCCGAAGGCUUGCCCUG